GGCUGGGUAGCUCAGCUGGAUUAGAGCACGCGGCUCAUACCCGCGGAGUCGAGGGUUCAACUCCCUCCCCAGCCACCA
rnacentral:tRNA from 1 species